GACGAACGCUGGCGGCGUGCUUAACACAUGCAAGUCGAACGGAAAGGCCCUGCUUUUGUGGGGUGCUCGAGUGGCGAACGGGUGAGUAACACGUGAGUAACCUGCCCUUCACUUUGGGAUAACUUCAGGAAACUGGGGCUAAUACCGGAUAGGAGCUCCUGCUGCAUGGUGGGGGUGGGAAAGUUUCGGCGGGUGGGGAUGGGCUCGCGGGUUAUCAGCUUGUUGGUGGGGUAGUGGCUUACCAAGGCUUUGACGGGUAGCCGGCCUGAGAGGGUGACCGGCCACAUUGGGACUGAGAUACGGCCCAGACUCCUACGGGAGGCAGCAGUGGGGAAUAUUGCACAAUGGGCGGAAGCCUGAUGCAGCGACGCCGCGUGCGGGAUGACGGCCUUCGGGUUGUAAACCGCUUUCGCCUGUGACGAAGCGUGAGUGACGGUAAUGGGUAAAGAAGCACCGGCUAACUACGUG
rnacentral:rRNA from 1 species